rnacentral:rRNA from 1 species
GAUGAACGCUGGCGGCGUGCCUAAUACAUGCAAGUCGAGCGAACAGAUGAGGAGCUUGCUCCUCUGACGUUAGCGGCGGACGGGUGAGUAACACGUGGAUAACCUACCUAUAAGACUGGGAUAACUUCGGGAAACCGGAGCUAAUACCGGAUAAUAUAUUGAACCGCAUGGUUCAAUAGUGAAAGACGGUUUUGCUGUCACUUAUAGAUGGAUCCGCGCCGCAUUAGCUAGUUGGUAAGGUAACGGCUUACCAAGGCGACGAUGCGUAGCCGACCUGAGAGGGUGAUCGGCCACACUGGAACUGAGACACGGUCCAGACUCCUACGGGAGGCAGCAGUAGGGAAUCUUCCGCAAUGGGCGAAAGCCUGACGGAGCAACGCCACGUGAGUGAUGAAGGUCUUCGGAUCGUAAAACUCUGUUAUUAGGGAAGAACAAAUGUGUAAGUAACUAUGCACGUCUUGACGGUACCUAAUCAGAAAGCCACGGCUAACUACGUG